rnacentral:rRNA from 1 species
AUUGAACGCUGGCGGCAGGCCUAACACAUGCAAGUCGAGCGAGCGGCGGACGGGUGAGUAAUGUCUGGGAAACUGCCUGAUGGAGGGGGAUAACUACUGGAAACGGUAGCUAAUACCGCAUACCAUCGGAUGUGCCCAGAUGGGCUUAGCUUGUUGGUGGGGUAACGGCUCACCAAGGCGACGCUCCCUCGCUGGUCUGAGAGGAUGACCAGCGAAACUGGAACGUAGACACGGUCCAGACUCUUGCGGGAGGCAGCAGUGGGGAAUAUUGCACAAUGGGCGCAAGCCUGAUGCAGCGAUGCCGCGUGUAUGAAGAAGGCCUUCGGGUUGUAAAGUACUUUCAGCGGGGAGGCGUUACCCGCAGAAGAAGCACCGGCUAACUCCGUGCCAGCCGCCGCGGUAAUAC